rnacentral:rRNA from 1 species
AGAGUUUGAUCCUGGCUCAGGACGAACGCUGGCGGCAUGCCUAAUACAUGCAAGUCGAGCGAACUAGAAGUUAGAGAUUAGAGGUUAGAGAUUAGAUUGAGGGUAGACUCCUUCGGUCCAACUUCUAAUUUCCAACCUCUAACUUCUAGUUAGCGGCGGACGGGUGAGUAACGCGUGGGCAACCUGCCUUAAAGACUGGGAUAACAUCCUGAAAGGGGUGCUAAUACCGGGUGUGAUCUACGUGCCGCAUGGCAAGUAGAAGAUAGGAGUAAUCCGCUUUAAGAUGGGCCCGCGUCUGAUUAGCUAGUUGGUAGGGUAACGGCCUACCAAGGCGACGAUCAGUAGCCGACCUGAGAGGGUGAACGGCCACACUGGGACUGAGACACGGCCCAGACUCCUACGGGAGGCAGCAGUCGGGAAUAUUGGGCAAUGGACGAAAGUCUGACCCAGCAAUGCCGCGUGAGUGAUGAAGGUCUUCGGAUCGUAAAGCUCUGUCUUUGGGGACGAAGAAAGUGACGGUACCCAAGGAGGAAGCCCCGGCUAACUACGUGCCAGCAGCCGCGGUAAUACGUAGGGGGCGAGCGUUGUCCGGAAUUAUUGGGCGUAAAGGGCGUGUAGGCGGCCGAUCAAGUCAGGUGUGAAAUUCCAGGGCCCAACCCUGGACGUGCACUUGAAACUGGUUGGCUUGAGUGCAGAAGAGGAAAGUGGAAUUCCCAGUGUAGCGGUGAAAUGCGUAGAUAUUGGGAGGAACACCAGUGGCGAAGGCGACUUUCUGGACUGUAACUGACGCUGAGGCGCGAAAGCGUGGGGAGCAAACAGGAUUAGAUACCCUGGUAGUCCACGCCGUAAACGAUGAGUGCUAGGUGUAGAGGGUAUCGACCCCUUCUGUGCCGCAGUUAACACAAUAAGCACUCCGCCUGGGGAGUACGGUCGCAAGACUGAAACUCAAAGGAAUUGACGGGGGCCCGCACAAGCAGCGGAGCAUGUGGUUUAAUUCGACGCAACGCGAAGAACCUUACCAGGACUUGACAUCCCUCGCUAUAGGCGGAAACGUCUAGUUCCCUUCGGGGACGAGGAGACAGGUGGUGCACGGUUGUCGUCAGCUCGUGUCGUGAGAUGUUGGGUUAAGUCCCGCAACGAGCGCAACCCUUGUCCUUAGUUGCCAGCACGUAAAGGUGGGCACUCUAGGGAGACUGCCGGUGACAAACCGGAGGAAGGUGGGGAUGACGUCAAAUCAUCAUGCCCCUUAUGUCCUGGGCUACACACGUGCUACAAUGGGCUGUACAAAGGGAAGCGAUACCGCGAGGAGGAGCAAAUCCCAUAAAACAGCUCUCAGUUCAGAUCGUAGGCUGCAACUCGCCUACGUGAAGAUGGAGUUGCUAGUAAUCGCCGGUCAGCAUACGGCGGUGAAUGCGUUCCCGGGCCUUGUACACACCGCCCGUCACACCACGAAAGUUGACAACACCCAACGUCGGUGAGCUAACCAGUCUAGAGAUUAGAGGUUAGAGGUAAGAGGUUAGAUCGAAGAGGAGUAACUUCCCAGCGGUCCAACUUCCAACAUCUAAUUUCCAACCUCUAGAUUGGAGGCAGCCGCCUAAGGUGGGGUUGAUGAUUGGGGUGAAGUCGUAACAAGGUAGCCGUAUCGGAAGGUGCGGCUGGAUCACCU